GACGAACGCUGGCGGCGUGCCUAAUACAUGCAAGUAGAACGCUGAAGGAGGAGCUUGCUUCUCUGGAUGAGUUGCGAACGGGUGAGUAACGCGUAGGUAACCUGCCUGGUAGCGGGGGAUAACUAUUGGAAACGAUAGCUAAUACCGCAUAAGAGUAGAUGUUGCAUGACAUUUGCUUAAAAGGUGCAAUUGCAUCACUACCAGAUGGACCUGCGUUGUAUUAGCUAGUUGGUGGGGUAACGGCUCACCAAGGUGACGAUACAUAGCCGACCUGAGAGGGUGAUCGGCCACACUGGGACUGAGACACGGCCCAGACUCCUACGGGAGGCAGCAGUAGGGAAUCUUCGGCAAUGGACGGAAGUCUGACCGAGCAACGCCGCGUGAGUGAAGAAGGUUUUCGGAUCGUAAAGCUCUGUUGUAAGAGAAGAACGAGUGUGAGAGUGGAAAGUUCACACUGUGACGGUAUCUUACCAGAAAGGGACGGCUAACUACGUG
rnacentral:rRNA from 1 species